GGCCGGCGGACGCCAUCGCUGCACCCCCUGCCCCGGCCCGGCCCGGCCCGGCAGCCGCCACCGCCUCCUCCCUCCUCUGCGCGCACGCCCACGGCCACGGCCACAGCUGCCCCGCCUCCGCCCGAGAAGGAGGGGGACGGGGGGAGGAGGAGGGGCCUCAGGAGUCCGGGCUGCUCCCGGAAAAAAACCCUGGGGCCGCUCCCACCUCCGCGCCCCCACCAAUUCCCAUGGGGUCUGGGCGGGGUCAGUUACAGAAGAGGCAACUGAGGUUUUGCUUGCAAUUGAGGUUUGACCAGUGCCAACCAGUGAGAAAUGCAAGAUUUCAGAGUAUGGGCAUCCCAUUCCUGUUAUUACCCUUCACUGCCCACUGGCAGCCCACAUCAGUAUCCUAGAUCAUAGCUUCUCCUCAUUCCCUCGCCUGAUCCUCAUAGAACAUGGACUCCAACUCAUCCACCAUAUGGAUUGUCCUCCAGCUCAGUAGUAUCUUACAUAAAUGGGGGUGCCCUCAAUUGCACCCAGUACUAUGGACGAGGUCUGAAUAUAGAGAACCAACGACUAUCAACCUUCUUAUUGCUGGAAGCUGUGUCUCCCUUGAUGUACCCAAGAUGACUGCCUUAUCACACCAGUGACUCAGAGCUUGCAGUCCACUGAAACUCCCAGUUUUUUUCCACACAGCCUGUUGUCUAAUCAUGCUUCCUCCAGCCUAUAACUAUGAAGGUAAAUGAAAGAUAUACACAACAUUGAUCUGUACUGAAUUCCAUCUUAUCAUUCAGCCCAGUGGUCUCCAGUGUUUUUGAUUGUGUGCUCUUCUCAACAAAAACAAAGGAAAGACCCCAUCUUUGAACAUGGAUCUUCAAAAUGUGUUUUUAAAAAGAAAACAUACAUGUUAUAAAUUAUACACAUUAUUGUAUGUAUAUCUAUAUAUCUAUAUCUGCACUAAAGCUUACACAGAAAUGCAUUCUCAAAAGGAGGAGCUAAAGAUGCCAAAGACCCUUUAAAGAUAUUUAUGAAUUCCAGAAGUCAUCUUGCUUUUGAGAAGGAGGUGAUUGAAUUUGCUUCAUUAUUUUCAAAAAAUCUCUGGGGACCGGGGAAACUUAAUAAUGACUGCUUGUUAGUAAUGAAUUAUUCGGUUAAUUUGAUCAAUGGGGCUAGCCAAGCAGGUGCAUUUCUUUUUUUUUCCCCAGUGUUUUUAUUUUGAAAGAUACGGAGUACAAUGAUCAAUUAAUAGGUCAUUACCAUCAAUAAGCAUAACAGCUUUCCAACCAGAGCACCGUUUCUCUGGGUAUCCUAAAAGGACGCACCAACCAAGUGGAAAAGCUCAAGGAAAAGUGAAUUGUUUCUGACUUCCACUCAGCUGAAGGUUGUCAAGGUAAAUUCAUUUCUCUCUCUAUGUGGGCCUGCUUAAUGGAAGGUGUCAGACCUUAAUUUCCAAUUCACAUUUGGAGAGUUUAGGCAGCAAGACCAGUUUGGCUAGACCAAAGAUUGGAAUCAUAGGUAGGGAGCCUGGACAGGUAGGCUGGAGGCAGGGAGACAAUAGAGAGCCAUUGGAGUUUAUCUAUCAGGGGAGUCUGGCCAGACCUACAUCUGCUAAAGGUCACUGGCAGGUGAGUAGUCGUUGGAGGAGUAGAGAGAGACUUGAGGGGAGUGCCCAUUAGCAGACGAUUUCAGAAGUCCAGCCCAGCGGUGAUGAGGUUUUCUCUGUGGGUAUCAUUAUUGUUAUGGGGACGGAGAAAGAGGACCAGAUGCAAGGAGUGCCAUGGAGUAGGAAAGGACAGUUUGGCCACUGAUUGGAUUUGAGGUGUGACUAAGAAGGAGGAAGCCUGGGUGGACGGGAAAAUGGCGGGAUCCUCAAUGGAAACGGACAUUCAGGAGAGAAGUUGGUUCAGAGUGAAAAAUAACAAAAUGAUGUUAUAACAGUUGUUAUAAUGGAAAGCUAACAGGUGUAUACCAUCACCUACCCCAUUUGCUUGUCCCACAUGACUCAUCUUCUGAACAAGAACAUAAAGGUAUCUAUGGUACCUUUAAUUAAUGAUAAUCGCAAUAGCAUUUUAAUGUUUGCAAAGAACUUGACAAAUAUGAUUUCUUUUGCUCCUCAUGAUGAUUCGGUCAGGGUUAGGGCCACAGUCAGUAUCAGACUGACCUAGGGAAAACUAGGAUAUGAGCAAAGUUUGCUUGGUGACCAUAGCAGGGUCUUUCCUUCCUCUGAGCCUCAGUUUCCCCCUCUUUAAAAUGGAGAGCUGGACAGGAUCAUGUCCAGAGUUCUUUCCCUUCCAAUGAUCCAUGAGGUCUGAAGUGGCUUCCUCCAACAGAGUUGCCUUACAGUUCCAAUAUCCUAACAGAAGAGGGUGCCCCUGUACCUCCAGUGGCUUUUAGAUUCUAUUAAGCAGCUGUUCUGCAGUUCUGGAAAACAGGUUUUAUAAAGAGGAUUCACUUUUUAAAGUGGCAUUAAUAAUACAAAUAUGUUCUGAGUGCUUGUAUUUUUUUCUUUCUGUGAAUCGUUGCCCAUAGGCCUAAAGGGAUGAUUCACACAGAGAGAAUCACAGAAUUCCCGAGUGGGAAGGGAGCUCUGUGCCAUGUAGGAAAAGAUUCCCCACUCUAAGAUAGUGGACUUGUGGAUAGCCAGGCUUGGUGCCCACCACCUCCUUAGGCAUCCUAGGACAUUUGGGGACAGUUCUCAUGGAUAAGAAGUUUUUCCCGACUUCAAACUUAAAUUUGCUGGGUAGAGUAAUGGUGAAGGCAGACAGAGCGCCUCAUCCCUACACCUUCUUUUGGAAACAUUAGGAAAGCAUUUAAAAAUUAUCCUAUAAUACAUGUAUAACCCAGUGGAAUUGCUUGUCAACCCUGGGAGGGGGGAGGGAAGAGGGGAGGGAGACCACAUGAAUCAUUUCACUUUGGAAAACUUAAGUGUAAAAUUUUUAUUGGAAUAAAAUAAAGCUAAAAUUAAAAAUAAAAUAAAAG
rnacentral:lncRNA from 1 species